CCUACGGGGGGCUGCAGUAGGGAAUAUUAGUAAUGGAGGAAACUCUGAACUAGCGAUACCGCGUGUGCGAAGAAGGCCUUCGGGUUGUAAAGCACUUUUUGAGAGGAUGAGGAAGGACGGUACUCUCAGAAUAAGUCUCGGCUAACUACGUGCCAGCAGCCGCGGUAACACGUAGGAGGCAAACGUUAUCCGGAUUUACUGGGCGUAAAGCGCGUGUAGGUGGUACUGUAAGUAGGGCGUGAAAGCUCCUGGCUCAACUGGGAGAGGCCGUUCUAAACUGCAGAACUCGAGUUUGGUAGAGGAAGAUGGAAUUCCAGGUGUAGCGGUAAAAUGCGCAGAUAUCUGGAGGAACACCAGUGGCGAAAGCGGUCUUCUAGACCAAUACUGACACUCAGACGCGAAAGCUAGGGUAGCAAACGGGCUUAGAUACCCCUGUAGUC
rnacentral:rRNA from 1 species